rnacentral:rRNA from 1 species
UGGUCAAGUUAUUAAGGGUGCAGGGCGGAUGCCUUGGCACUAGGAGCCGAUGAAGGACGUGAUAAGCUGCGAUAAGCUUCGGGGCGUUGCACGGAAACUUUGAUC